rnacentral:lncRNA from 1 species
UGCAGGUACCCACAGAGGCCAGAAGAGAGUGUAAAAUCCCCUGGAGUUGGAGUUAUAAUAGUUGUGGGUGACCCAGUAUGCAUGCUGAGCCAUCUCUUUUUUUUAACUUUAUUAUUUUAUUAGAUAUUUUCUUUAUAUACAUUUCAAGUGCUAUCCCGAAAGUUCCCUAUACCCUCCCCCCCGCCCUGCUCCCCUACCCACCCACUCCUGCUUCUUGGCCCUGGCAUUCCCUUGUACUGGGGCAUAUAAAGUUUGUAAGACCAAGGGGCCUCUCUCCCCAGUGAUGGCCAACUAGGCCAUCUUCUGAUACAUAUGCAGCUAGAGACACGAGCUCUUGGGGUACUGGUUAGUUCAUAUUGUUAUAGGGUUGCAGACCUGGGGGUCCUGUGUUCCAUCUUAUAGAUGACUGUGAGCAUCCACUUCUGUAUUUGCCAGGCACUGGCAUAUACGAGACCUAUAACAGGGUCCCUUCAGCAAAAUCUUUCUGGCAUAUGCAAUAGUGUCUGGGUUUGGUGCCUGAUUAUGGGAUGGAUUCCCGGGUGGGGUAGUCUCUGGGUAGUCCAUCUUUUCGUCUUAGCUCCAAAUUUUGUCUCUGUAACUCCUUUCAUGGGUAUUUUGUUCCCUAUUCUAAGGAGGAAUGAAGUAUCCACCCAUUGGUCUUCCCUCUUCUUGAUUUUCUUGUGUUUUGCAAAUUGUAUCUUGGGUAUUCUAAGUUCCUGGGCUAAUAUCCACUUAUUAGUGAGUGCAUAUCUAAUGACUUCUUUUGUGAUUGGGUUACCUCACUAAGUAUGAUAUCCUCCAGAUACAUCCAUUUGUUCAAGAAUUUCAUGAAUUCAUUCUUUUUAAUAGCUGAAUAGUACUCCAUUGUGUAAAUGUACCACAUUUUCUGUAUCUAUUCCUCUGUUGAGGGACAUCUGGGUUCUUUCCAGCUUCUGGCUAUUAUAAAUAAGGCUGCUAUGAACAUAGUGGAGCAUGUGUUCUUAUCACCAGUUGGAACUUCUUCUGGGUAUAUACCCAGGAGAGGUAUUGCUGGAUCUUCUGGUAGUAUUAUGUCCAAUUUUCUGAGGAACCACCAGACUGAUUUCCAGAGUGGUUGUACAAGCUUGCAAUCCCACCAACAAUGGAGGAGCGUUCCUCUUUCUCCACAUCCUCGCCAGCAUCUGCUGUCACCUGAAUUUUUGAUCUUAGCCAUUCUGACUGGUGUGAGGUGGAAUCUCAGGGUUGUUUUGAUUUGCAUUUCCCUGAUAAUUAAGGAUGUUGAACAUUUUUUCAGGUGUUUCUCCAUGCUGAGUCAUCUCUACAGCACUAUUUUCAGCACUGUAAAAUAUACAGUUCUAUAGGGAUAAGUGCAUUUACAUUGCUGUUCAACUACUGCAACCUUCUAUUUUCAUCUUUCUCAACUGAACUAAAACAUAAAACAAUACCAUCAUCCUCUCUCACUCUUGGCUCAUGACAGUCAUAAUUCUACUUACUGUCUCUAUCAAUGUUAUUAUUCCAAGAACAUCAGUGAAUCACAAAAAUUUAUCUUUUUAAUGUUUUUAGUUAUGUGGGUGUAUGUGUAUGGGUAUGUGUGGGUGUGAAUGUGUGUGUGUUUGUGUGUCCUGCUACUUAGGUGCAUAUAUGCCAUAGUAUUUAUGAGGAUCAGAAGUCACUUUUUAGGAGUUGACUGCCUCCUUCCACCAUGUGGGUUCUGAAGAUUAAUUUCAGGUUAUCAGGCCUUGGGACAAACAACUUUACCCACUUAGAUACCGCAGUAGUCCAGUAUCUGUCUUUUUAUUACUAGCCUAUUUUAUUUAGCAUCAUGGUCCUUAUGGAUCAUCCAUGUUGUAUUAAAAUUUCCUCUCUUUUUAAGGUUGAAUAGUAGUCUAUUUUGUGUGUGUAUAUUGCAUUUUUUUCUCCCGCUCUCCCACUCUCCAUGUUAUGUGGUAAAUAUGUACAGGAAAAAACAGCUUCUCAAAAUGCCAAUCACAGAGAUUUCUACCUUGGUUCAUUCAUCACAUAAUUGCGCUUUCUGGAUCCCAAGUUGGUUCCUAUAUUCUUUCUCAUUUUUAAAAGAAUAUACUAUCUUCUCUGAGUAUGCUAUGGAUUACAGGGGUUUAUUGUGGCUCCUGUUUUUGGGGGGGUUGGAGUUUUGGGGGGUUUUGGAUGGAUUUGCAUAAACCAGAGUUUGAAAUUCACUUUGUAAUACUAAAGUAGAUCCUACAAUAAUAAAUUCAAGUUCAAGCUAUUCAGUAUGUGCUGGGCCCUACCCAAGGAUAUGCUAAAUUCCAGAGUAGGACUCUAAUCGCUGCUUUACUCCAGUCACUAGUUUCUGUGGUAUAACAUACUUCUUCAGAUGAAAUACAAGGUUGGUUUAAGAUUUCUAAAAGGUGCUUUGUUUAGUGAUGCUGUUCAAAGAAAUGGAAGUUCAAUUUUCUAGUAAUGCAUGGAAUGGAGAAUCAUCUGUAUGACUAAUAUUUUAAUGUCUUCUUUUUAACUACUCAAAAUAGACUGGGAGCUAGAGAGUUGAUAAGGUGAUUAAGACUACUUACUGUUCUCCUGAGGACCAGAGGUCAGUUCCUAGCACCUAUAUCAAAUAGCUCACAACCAUCUGUAACACCAGCUCCAAGGGAUCUCACACUAUCUUCUGGACUCUGUGGAUACCUGAACAUAUGUAGAAUACAUUCUGUCACAUACAGAAAGAGGUGAGAAAGAAAGGAGAAAAAGGGAGAGAAGGAGGAAGAAGAGAGAGAGAGAUUUUAAUUAAAUAGAUUUGAAAAUUCUGUAAUGCAUAAGUUUUUAGGGAGAAAAUGGUACUGAUAGGAUAGACAAAUAUUUACUCCAUAAAAGAAAGAUCACCCAGUGGGUUUUUAUUGGGGGGUAUAUACCUCAGCAAAAUUGAAAUUUAUUUUUUUAUUUACAAUCCAGUCGUUCCCCACCCUAACCCCCUCAGUCCCCUCUCCCAGAGUUACUCAUCCCAUUUCCUCCUCCCCCUUGCCUCUGAGAGGGUGCUCCCCCGACCAGACCUUCCCCUUUCCUCAGGCCUCAAGUCUCUCAAAGAUUAAGUGCAUCUUCUCCCACUGAGGCCAGACCAGGCAGACCUCUGCUUAUAUUUGUGCCAGGGGCCUCGGACCAGCUCGUGUAUGCUCCUGGUUGAUGGCUCAGUCUCUGGGAGCUUCCUGAGGGUCUGGGUUAGUUGAGACUACUGGUCUUCUUUGGGAUCACACUCCCUUUCAGCUUCUUCAAUCUUUCCCCUAAUUCAACCAUAGGGGUCCCUGGUUGGGUGUAAGUAUCUGCAUCUGUCUCACUCAGCUGCUGGUAGGGCCUUUCAGAGGACAGCCAUGCUGGGCUCCUGUCUGUAAGCACAUCAUAGCAUCAGUAAUAGUGUCAGGCCUUGGUGCCUUCCCAUGGGAUGGAUCUCAAGUUAGGCCAGUUAUUAUACUGACUUUCCUUCAGUCUCUCCUCCAUUUUUGUCCCUGCAGUUUUUUUAGACAGGAACGGUUCAUUAUGAAUUUUGCAGGCAAAUGGAUGGAACUAGAAAAUAUCAUCCUGAGGUAACUCAGACCCAAAAGGACAUGCAUGGUGUGUCCUCACUGAUAAGUGGAUAUUAGCCAAAAAGUACAGAAUACCUAGAAUACAACCCAUAGACCAUAAGAAGUUGUAACAAACAGAAAGGCCCAAGUGAGUAGACUUCAAUCCCACUUAGAACAGGAAAGGAAAUAAUCAUGAGAGGCAGGGGGAUGGAGGGACCUGAGUAGGAGAGGGAACAGGGAGGGGAAAGGGGGAACAGGAUCAGGUAUGUGGGGGAACAGGAGAGAAGCCCAGUGACAAGAGAAUGAAUAGAGAUAAGCAGCCUCAGGGGUUGGGGUGGGAGAUGGGGGACCCUCUAGAAUGUACAGGAGACCCACGAGGUGAGACACUCUUAAGGGCUCAAUGGGGGUGCCCUUAGCCAAAAUGCCCAACAUUGGGGAGAGGGAACUCAAAGAGUCUACCUCCAAUAGAUAGACAGGGUCUCAAGGGGGAGGGACAGGGUUAUUAACCCACAGUCAACAUUUCUGACCCAAAACUCACCAUGGUGGCUUUUAUAACAUUUUGUAAAUUGUGGAAUCACAAUGAUGCAUAAUCAUUCUUAGAUGUGUAAAAAAUUUUUCUUUCAGUUUAUAAAUUUAUAGUUCCUCAAUUUUUCUGAAAAUGCAAUUUUAAGAUGUACAAUAUUCCUUUCAGACCUGUACUAUCUCAUUUUUAAUGUCUGAAAGGGACUUUCAUUUUUGGUUUUGUUUAUAUUAAAGAGUUGGGUUUCCCCGGGCUAUCCAGGAACUAUGCGGUUUAAACUUCCUGGGUAGGUAUCUAAGCUGAAAAUCUCAAGUUGGUAUGUUAAUUUGGGCAGGAAAAUAUAGUUUAGAUCUCUGAAACUUUUCUCCAGUUUACAACUUCGAAAAAUCAUCUUCAAAGUGAUAGCUGCUUGUCAGUUCCCUAAAUAUUAGUAUUAAGUCACCUGCCUUUCCCUAACAUUUUGAUGGAUUUCAAAUAUAUAAUAUGUG